rnacentral:snRNA from 1 species
AAUGCUUUUGUACACUAAAAAAG